CAGACUCAUCUUCACAGCACUCCCAGUACUUUGCAGUCAUUUAAAAAUACUCCAGUUUACCAAAAACGUAUGGCCGAUAUUUUCACUGCACACAACUUUAAAUAUGGAAACGAGAGAAAACUGUUAGGAAAGAAAGAAAGAAAGGCAGGACAGAAGAAAAAAGGGUUGUUAGGACAGUGGGGAGAAACGAAAGAACAUAAAAGAGGAAGGAAGGAAUGAUGCAAGGGGGGAGGACACAAGGAAGGGAAAAGAGGAAGGAUAUAAAGGGAGGGAAAAAGGAAGGACAAAAAGGCAGGACACUAGGGAAAAAUAGAAGUAGGACAUAUGGAAGGAUGAAAGGACACAAGCAAUGAUAUGAGGAAGGAAGACAGACACAAAAAAGAAGGCGGCAGUUAUGCACCAGAUUCUCUGACGACGGCAGUGGAGCAGCUAAAGCAAACCACUUCUGCUGCAUUUGAAAUGGUUAUGCAGAAAGAGAUGCAUGCAAUGUCCCACCAAAUACCACAAGAUGGGAGAACUGCAUGAGACUGAAUGGAAAAUGGGAGAAGUGGCCACUUAACUGCUGAGUUAAAUCCAGUGCAUCCGACUGCACUCCAACUAUCAGCUGCUGUGACCUGAACCACGUUGUUCUGGAGGUUGAAUCUGCCGCCACACUAGUGACUGUAAUUACAAGCGCAACGUCAGCCAAGGCAAGAACCAGGCGUCUCCUGAUCCAGCAAGCACUCUGCUUCAGCGCCCCACCGGUAGCAAACAGGUAAAUAAUUUGCAAACUCGCCACCAAGUGGUCGAGGGUGUGAAUUGGAAUCUGUCAAAAUGACGGAUGGUCCUUCAGAUUUUUCUGUCACUGUUUAAAAAAAACAGGUCAAAACUGUAAAAUAUUCGGUUAACGCGACCCCUGCUUUAAGCCUAAAGGACACAAAAGAACAGAACCUAACAGAACCCUUUUCAGGCUUUGCACAUUUUACAGAGAAGCCUUCAACACAUUCCUGAAAGUACAAAGACUAUGGCACCACCGAAACGGACAGGUUGGACAAGGAGAGCAUUACUCACAGAAGCAACUCUGGAGGAGCUGCUUGAAUCUAAAGCUCAGGUGGGAAAAUCUGUCAGUAAGACAACUUUUACACUCUUCAAAUCUGUCCUUUAUGGAGAAGUGGCAAAACUAAUGAAUUGUUGAAAGACAGCCACAAAUCCACCCUGCAAUUUGCUGCUAACCUCAACAGCAAACAUGGAAAAAGUAGCCCUGGUCAGACAAAAUUCAAAUGUAACCUUUUGGUCUACAUGCAGAUCACUAUGUGUGAGGGAAAACCAACACAGCACCCUGAACACAACAUCCCCAUUGUGAGACAUAAUGUGGCACCCUACAUCUGUUCUGACUGAGAACGAAA